GUUUGUAUAGUUUAAAUAAAACAUUAUAUUUUCAAUAUAGAGUUAAUAUAUUUUAUUAGAAGUU
rnacentral:tRNA from 1 species